rnacentral:rRNA from 1 species
ACUAAGCGUACACGGUGGAUGCCCUGGCAGUCAGAGGCGAUGAAGGACGUGCUAAUCUGCGAUAAGCGUCGGUAAGGUGAUAUGAACCGUUAUAACCGGCGAUUUCCGAAUGGGGAAACCCAGUGUGAUUCGUCACACUAUCAUUAACUGAAUCCAUAGGUUAAUGAGGCGAACCGGGGGAACUGAAACAUCUAAGUACCCCGAGGAAAAGAAAUCAACCGAGAUUCCCCCAGUAGCGGCGAGCGAACGGGGAGCAGCCCAGAGCCUGAAUCAGUGUGUGUGUUAGUGGAAGCGUCUGGAAAGGCGCGCGAUACAGGGUGACAGCCCCGUACACAAAAAUGCACAUGCUGUGAGCUCGAUGAGUAGGGCGGGACACGUGGUAUCCUGUCUGAAUAUGGGGGGACCAUCCUCCAAGGCUAAAUACUCCUGACUGACCGAUAGUGAACCAGUACCGUGAGGGAAAGGCGAAAAGAACCCCGGCGAGGGGAGUGAAAAAGAACCUGAAACCGUGUACGUACAAGCAGUGGGAGCACGCUUAGGCGUGUGACUGCGUACCUUUUGUAUAAUGGGUCAGCGACUUAUAUUCUGUAGCAAGGUUAACCGAAUAGGGGAGCCGAAGGGAAACCGAGUCUUAACUGGGCGUUAAGUUGCAGGGUAUAGACCCGAAACCCGGUGAUCUAGCCAUGGGCAGGUUGAAGGUUGGGUAACACUAACUGGAGGACCGAACCGACUAAUGUUGAAAAAUUAGCGGAUGACUUGUGGCUGGGGGUGAAAGGCCAAUCAAACCGGGAGAUAGCUGGUUCUCCCCGAAAGCUAUUUAGGUAGCGCCUCGUGAAUUCAUCUCCGGGGGUAGAGCACUGUUUCGGCAAGGGGGUCAUCCCGACUUACCAACCCGAUGCAAACUGCGAAUACCGGAGAAUGUUAUCACGGGAGACACACGGCGGGUGCUAACGUCCGUCGUGAAGAGGGAAACAACCCAGACCGCCAGCUAAGGUCCCAAAGUCAUGGUUAAGUGGGAAACGAUGUGGGAAGGCCCAGACAGCCAGGAUGUUGGCUUAGAAGCAGCCAUCAUUUAAAGAAAGCGUAAUAGCUCACUGGUCGAGUCGGCCUGCGCGGAAGAUGUAACGGGGCUAAACCAUGCACCGAAGCUGCGGCAGCGACGCUGAUGCGUUGUUGGGUAGGGGAGCGUUCUGUAAGCCUGCGAAGGUGUGCUGUGAGGCAUGCUGGAGGUAUCAGAAGUGCGAAUGCUGACAUAAGUAACGAUAAAGCGGGUGAAAAGCCCGCUCGCCGGAAGACCAAGGGUUCCUGUCCAACGUUAAUCGGGGCAGGGUGAGUCGACCCCUAAGGCGAGGCCGAAAGGCGUAGUCGAUGGGAAACAGGUUAAUAUUCCUGUACUUGGUGUUACUGCGAAGGGGGGACGGAGAAGGCUAUGUUGGCCGGGCGACGGUUGUCCCGGUUUAAGCGUGUAGGCUGGUUUUCCAGGCAAAUCCGGAAAAUCAAGGCUGAGGCGUGAUGACGAGGCACUACGGUGCUGAAGCAACAAAUGCCCUGCUUCCAGGAAAAGCCUCUAAGCAUCAGGUAACAUCAAAUCGUACCCCAAACCGACACAGGUGGUCAGGUAGAGAAUACCAAGGCGCUUGAGAGAACUCGGGUGAAGGAACUAGGCAAAAUGGUGCCGUAACUUCGGGAGAAGGCACGCUGAUAUGUAGGUGAAGUCCCUCGCGGAUGGAGCUGAAAUCAGUCGAAGAUACCAGCUGGCUGCAACUGUUUAUUAAAAACACAGCACUGUGCAAACACGAAAGUGGACGUAUACGGUGUGACGCCUGCCCGGUGCCGGAAGGUUAAUUGAUGGGGUCAGCGCAAGCGAAGCUCUUGAUCGAAGCCCCGGUAAACGGCGGCCGUAACUAUAACGGUCCUAAGGUAGCGAAAUUCCUUGUCGGGUAAGUUCCGACCUGCACGAAUGGCGUAAUGAUGGCCAGGCUGUCUCCACCCGAGACUCAGUGAAAUUGAACUCGCUGUGAAGAUGCAGUGUACCCGCGGCAAGACGGAAAGACCCCGUGAACCUUUACUAUAGCUUGACACUGAACAUUGAGCCUUGAUGUGUAGGAUAGGUGGGAGGCUUUGAAGUGUGGACGCCAGUCUGCAUGGAGCCGACCUUGAAAUACCACCCUUUAAUGUUUGAUGUUCUAACGUUGACCCGUGAUCCGGGUUGCGGACAGUGUCUGGUGGGUAGUUUGACUGGGGCGGUCUCCUCCUAAAGAGUAACGGAGGAGCACGAAGGUUGGCUAAUCCUGGUCGGACAUCAGGAGGUUAGUGCAAUGGCAUAAGCCAGCUUGACUGCGAGCGUGACGGCGCGAGCAGGUGCGAAAGCAGGUCAUAGUGAUCCGGUGGUUCUGAAUGGAAGGGCCAUCGCUCAACGGAUAAAAGGUACUCCGGGGAUAACAGGCUGAUACCGCCCAAGAGUUCAUAUCGACGGCGGUGUUUGGCACCUCGAUGUCGGCUCAUCACAUCCUGGGGCUGAAGUAGGUCCCAAGGGUAUGGCUGUUCGCCAUUUAAAGUGGUACGCGAGCUGGGUUUAGAACGUCGUGAGACAGUUCGGUCCCUAUCUGCCGUGGGCGCUGGAGAACUGAGGGGGGCUGCUCCUAGUACGAGAGGACCGGAGUGGACGCAUCACUGGUGUUCGGGUUGUCAUGCCAAUGGCACUGCCCGGUAGCUAAAUGCGGAAGAGAUAAGUGCUGAAAGCAUCUAAGCACGAAACUUGCCCCGAGAUGAGUUCUCCCUGACUCCUUGAGAGUCCUGAAGGAACGUUGAAGACGACGACGUUGAUAGGCCGGGUGUGUAAGCGCAGCGAUGCGUUGAGCUAACCGGUACUAAUGAACCGUGAGGCUUAACC